CAAAUGCUCCACGUGGAUAGCUUUAUCAAGCUUCCCUUCAAUUUGCUUAUGCCAUAUCCUCCAUGUCUUCUAACUUUCGUUCCUCUUUUUUAAUUUUGAAAUUCAAAUUUUGAAUCUUGCUUCUUUAGCUUUUAGGGUUUCAAGUUUUCUUCUUUCUAUAUCCACUCUGUGUUGGUGAUGUUGGCUCACACGGAAGAGGGAAGAUUCGUCGGUGGUGGUGAGAUUUACGGGUUUGGUUGACAUCAGUGUUUAUCUUCCUCGCAAACUUGUGGCGGUCUUUUUCUUCCUCACAAACUUAAUCAUCUUCUUUACAAGAUUUUAGGGUUCCUUCCUCUUUCACAUUUGACCCACCAGGUGUUCGAUAAAAUUCUGCAUUGAACGUUUUGAAAUUUGGGAACAAACAACAACUAUAUAUGCAUGGUGAUCAUGUGAUUUUUAAUGUUGAAGAAAGUUGGCAAAUGGCUAAGUUUUAUAGCAACAAGGGACAUACGGCUGGUCUUUUCAAUUUGGGAAAUACCCGUUAUAUGAACUCAACAUUGUAAUGCCUUUAUUCUGGUCCAGUUUUCAAGUGUGGGAUACCUGGAUCGGUGUUUGUCUCUCUUUUCUCAUGCUUUUUAUUUUCAACAGGAUCCUUACAAAGGCAUAUUAAGGGCGUGUGUGGAGCAACCGUAACAUUGUAAACAACGUCGUGGAUUGAUGAAGAAGCACAACAGCUUUCUUAUUGACAAAAGCAUUUAGCUAACAUUGUGCCUCUGGAUUAUUGGCCUUGACAAGAGUGGGAAGCCGAAGAGUCAUCCAUAUAUCAGCCGGUUUUAUGAUGUUCUUAUCUGUAUUUGGAAAAUUUGGGGUCGUUUUUGCUUCUAUACCUUUGCCAAUCAUAGCAACGUUAUAUUGUAUAUUUUUCGGUUACGUCUGUUUUGAAAAGAGAAAUUCAUAUCAACGAGCUUCAGUGGUAAGCGUAUUGCAUGUUCAAGACACUCGCGUGCUGCACAAAGAGGGAGUCAUCCAUAGAGAAAUCAUGCUAUGGUUGUGGCUGUUUCUACUGCGGCGGCAGCUGAUGCUGCAGUGGCUGCUGCACAGGUUGCUGUUGUUGUGAUCCGUUUGACUUCUGGUACGAACGAGAGUUAUAGAAGUAUUGAAGAUGCUGCUGCUGUUAAAAUUCAAUGCCUCUAUCAAUCACACUUAUUAAGAAGUUAGUUUUAUGGGGAUGAGAGAUUUCGAAGGAGGAGAAGUAUGAGGAGUCAUCAUAUCAUACUUUCUACAAUUCUCGUCAUUCGGUCCAAGAAUUCAGAGUUUCUGAUCCGUGAGAAGGUCGGUAAGAGUUCAAGUUGUAGCCAAACAUACAACGAUCGAGUUAACAGGACGAGUUAGGCCAGGUUUGCUGUAAGAAGUUUUAUGUAUUCUCACUGACCUCAAAUGCAACGUCGUAGCGGCCGAAGUUUGGACUAACAAUUCAAGAAUGUCAGUAGUUUACAUCACCGACGACGCGGCAGGAUUAUCGAUAGACAAUCAUGACCGCCAUGCCAAAAUUAACCAUCUCCUACUAAAUGUCUUGAUAGUGCUUAGACCAAAAUAUUAGAAGCCUCAAACAUUCUUUGACAGUCAUCUCCAACUAAUGCUUCUGGUGAGGGUACUGAAACAAAAAAUCAAUGACUCCUCCUCCAUCAUAGGGAUGUUAGAAGAGUCUGAAUAUGAAUUGACGCAUUUGUGGUGAUCAUGGAGAAUGAAUAUCACGGGCAUGCUAUUAAGCUUAGGUCUGGCUAUUGAUGAAGUUUGAAAUUUCAAGACUUUCAAAGUGCUUUUAUAGAGUUAUUUGUGUCGCCUGUUGAGAUUUCGAAUUGCUACUGAGAUAGCCAUUGGACUCCUUUUCCUUCACCUGACUAAACCUGAAUCGAUAGUGCACUGUAACUUGAAACCUGUAAACAUUUUGCUUGACGGAAACUAUGUGAGCAAUAUUGGUGAUGCUGGUUUGUCAAGGAUUGUUCCUCCUUCUGUCCAAGACAGUCACUUAGUAUCGCAUGAAUUCUACAAUUUCUACAAAUCAAAAACCGUAGUAAGGUAACUACUAAUAUCUUCAUGAACCACAUCUCCAAACAUAGGCAAGUUACGACUAUCGAUGGCACGUUUACUCAUAUUCGCAUUGGCGAGUUUGAUCAUGCGGGUAAUUGUUCUGAUUUUAACCAUAGUUCUACAUCUUUGACCCAUGGAUGAUUUGAGAGGAUGGAACCAUCUAAUACAGUGAGAGUUGUUGAUUUGAGUGUUGUUUCGGAUUCGGGUUAUCGUAAUUCGGGUGUUCGUGUAAAGGCUUCAAGGCUUCAAGUACAGUCUACAUGUUUGUGAAAUUGUCUUUCAAAUGAAAAUACUAUUAAAUUAUAGGCAAACAGUUCAUAUGAUGUUCUGCUUCCAUUUCUAUAAGGUUUUUGACCCACCUUGCUGCUGGUCUCAAGAUGACAUUGCUAAAGAUUUACUUGAGAAGGACAUACCAUAUGUAAAUACAAUUUCCAAAGCCGCUAAGUUACCUCCUUUAUAAGAUGAUGGACCUCCAAGUAAUUUCUACGGGAUAUUUUCUGAUAGAGAACGAAGUAACCGAAGAGGUUCUUGGGAUGGUAUAGGUUUUAGAUCCUCACGGUGAUGGGGUGGAGGCGAAGCUCUAAUGAUGACUUUUGUGACUCAAGGAGGGGUGGCAGAGACGAUACUUUGGUGAAUUAAGGAGGGGUGGUAGAAGUAGUUUAAAUCUGGCAACAGUUGGUCCAAACGAGAAAGAAGCAUCCCGAAUGAUUGGCUAAUUGGAGGCAAACAAUCAAGCAGGUCUCUAUCAUCACCAAACAGCCCAUUUGCAUAUCCUGAAAGCUAGGCAAAUAUGCUCGCCUCUCAAAUAGAAGUGAAAAUACUCUAAGAGUGAGAGCAACUGCUUUUUGCAAAAAAAUGCAGUAUUAAAGCUUGCCAUUAACUCCUAUGUUUGGUUGAACUUGAAAGAUGGUCUUCUAUCCCUGCCUCAAAUUUUGGAACUGUGAACUCUCAUUCAACUUCUGGCUGGAUCGAAGAUCAUUGAAGUAGACAACAAUGUUCGAGAAUUUUAGGCCCUUUUAGAUCCAUGUUAUUGGCCCGAACGAAGAACUUUCAGAAUGACCUGGUUGGACUUCAAGGAGAAACAAUGGUGCCAAGAGAUGCUAAGCUAGAGCAAGAAGGGAUGCUUGAAGAUGUAUUUGGAAUCACAAGAAACUCAUUAAAGGACACAAAUGUUUCUUCCAUGAGAUACUGAUCCCUCACCCUCAAUUAACAUGCACAUAUUGCCUUUAAUCAAGAUGAAUGCUCAUGAUGAUGACAAUUCUUCAGCAUGUAAAACUGAUGUUACGCCUUGAACUCCUGAAAAGGCUGUUGGGAUUUCUUUUCUUCCCUAUAUAAUAUGUUGUGAAUGUUAUAUUCGUUUAUUUUUAUAGGUUGUUGUUAUGUUACAAAUGAGUGAGUGGAAUGAGUGAAAGAAUGUUUUUGUUGCCUAUUUUUAGUCGUGGAUGGUUUUCUUUCAAUUCACUGUCAAUUGUUUCAUAACGUGCUAUCCCAUUGUUGGCUUAAUAACUUAUUCAUUAUCCAUAGUAAAAAUAUAUUUCUCAUACCUUGAAAUGUGUAAGUACACUUAAAUUUAAAUAAGUUUUUAUAAUAUCUUAUAAAUACAAUUAAUAUUUUUAAUUAUGUGAUAUAAAACAAUAUUUU